CGUGGCUUAGUGGUUAAAGGCAUUCGACUUACUAUCGUAAGGUCGUGGGUUCAAUUCCCGGCG
rnacentral:tRNA from 1 species